CUGGAACAUACUGUACCCAACAAAUAAAUGCAUGUCAGAAUUCCCAGUGUCAGAAUGGUGGUUUCUGUGUUCCUGUGGCAGGAUCCUGUACUGACUAUACCUGUACAUGUACUGGAUGUUAUACUGGACAAUAUUGUACAACAUUAUUGAAUCCAUGCCAGAAUUCUCAAUGUCAGAAUGGUGGUUUCUGUGUAGCUGUACCUGGAUCUUGUACUGACUAUACCUGUACAUGCAGUGGAUGUUAU